GCCGCCAUCGUCUAGGGGCUAGGACAUAGCGUUCUCAACGCUAAAACACCGGUUCGACUCCGGUUGGCGGCACCA
rnacentral:tRNA from 4 species